CUCGUUCACCAUCAGUCUCUUCCCACAAGAGAAUGUACAAAAUGAGGCCGAGGUUUCUCUGCAACAGUUUGCCUGCUGGUUUGAUGUUCAGUUUCUUUGUUUUCCUGCUUCAACCAGUUUCCACACAGAGAAUCAGAAAUCAGAUUUAUUUCUUGGAUAAUGAAGGCGACAUUGUGUUAAACGGACCGGACAAUCCUGGGAGUGACACUGUUGUCUGGGAAUGGGAACCACACUCAGGGCGGGGAAAACAGACAGUGGUAAUUCUCCGCGACCAGAACAAGGACACGUGGAGCAAACAGUGGGACAAUGGCUGGGGAAACACAGACAAGAACCAGGAGGUGGAUGUGGAUGACCAUACUGGUAAUCUGGCAAUAACAAAACCCAGAUUUAAAUGGUCAGGAUUGUUCACUUUGACCGAAACACAU